UUAACUCAAAUUUGUAUGGAGUUGGAACAUUUGACUAAGUUUGCCGCUAGGGGCGCUGUUGCAACUCCAUACAAAUUUGCGUUA
rnacentral:pre_miRNA from 1 species